rnacentral:rRNA from 1 species
AACGAACGCUGGCGGCGUGGAUAAGACAUGCAAGUCGAACGGGAACUUCAGCUGUAGCAAUACAGUUGAAGUUUUAGUGGCGAACGGGUGCGUAACACGUGGGCAAUCUGCCGAGAAGUGGGGGAUAGCUCGCCGAAAGGCGAAUUAAUACCGCAUAUGAUCAGCUAAGACAUCUUAGCGACAUCAAAGCCGGGGCAACCUGGCGCUUUUUGAGGAGCCCGCGGCCUAUCAGCUAGUUGGUGAGGUAACGGCUCACCAAGGCUAUGACGGGUAGCUGGUCUGAGAGGACGACCAGUCACACUGGAACUGAGACACGGUCCAGACACCUACGGGUGGCAGCAGUCGAGUAAUUUUUC